ensembl:lncRNA
UUGGAGGUAGUUUCUAAGAAAAAAAAAAAAAGCGGCUUUCAGACGGUCGCGGCCCCAGCGGGGUGCGGGAGGGCGGUGCGGGGCGGCAGCGGCGCGGGGCGGUGCAGCCUUUGUGGCAGAGGUGCGGGAAGGAGCGGAACGGAGCCUUUGUGGCAGCGGGCGGUGCGGCUGCUCCGCUCAUUUCCCGGUGCCGGCUUUUUUUUCUUUUUUUCCCUCGUGCACUUUAUUAUUUUUAAAGGAAAAGGAGCUUAGGGAAAAAAAAAAGAAGGAAAAAAAAGAAGAAGAAGAAAGAAGGAAAACAAAAAGAAAAGAAACCUCGAUUUCUUUUUCUCUGCUUCCCCCGCUCCCCCUCCCCUCGAUGUGGCCUCUUGUUUGGCUCGUGGCGUGACCGUGAUGAAGAAAUGUUUCUGUGCGCCUGGCAGGGUGCUCCUUUUAUGUCAUGAGUCAGGAUUUUGCCAACGGAAGGAGCCCGCGCAGCGAGGACUGCGGGCCGCUGCUCUCCGGACCGGGAAGCUGCCAGGGGAUCCCCGCUCCGCCCCGGGGCGCCGCCGGGCACCGGCACGCGAGCUCUCCUCAUCCCUUAAAGAAGUUGUGGAGGAACGCAGUGCUGAGGGCUGUGCGAUGCAGAUACCCAGCGGAGCGCUCGACCUGCCGCUGUCAGCAGGGAACGGCCGCGCUCGGGUCGCGUGAAGCCCCUUCUGGAGGGCCGCAGCUGUAACCCAGCAGGAGUCAGGGCAGACACCUCCUGCAACGGUUCUGCUUUAGCCUGCGAUACAGAAGAACAGACACACAAGCUGAUCCUUUGGAAAGAUAAGAAUAGAUACUUUGGAUGCUGGGUCUGGUAAAUCUGCUGCUCUGGGUGGGUUCAAUGUGACUUUAUGGGCGCUUACAGAAGGUGCUGCUUAACUAAACAAACCAAUCCUGACGUGUGAGUAAGACCGCAAGGUAUCUGUUAGCAAUUAAUUCCUGCCGUCCCGAAAAGGCAGUGUGUGUUGUGACUUGGAUACAAGUCUCAUUUAUCAGUUCCCAGGUUAGCUACUUAUAAGUAGUGAUUCUCUCAAUUAAUUGGGUGUAUCUUACAAAGAUACUUGACUUACAAAUUGAAUCUCAGAAGGCUGUGGUUCCAGAGUCGGGGUUUUGGGGGCGAGAUGAGCUUAUGUUUUAUCCAACUGGCCCACAAAGUCCCGCUUUUGGUGGUCACUUUGUUCUGCAAAGGAAACCAAUGCGUUCUGGUCUUACAAUGGACACUAAACUUAGCACUAAGCUACUGCUGCACUCAGUAACGGGCUACUGCACACUUAAAUAUGCAACAAUAUUUCAACUUUAACGUCACCUUCAGCAGUAAAAUGUGGACAGGUAACACUAGCAUCCCCCAAAUUAAACAUGAAAUGGCUUUCUAAGCACUGUUGUAGCUUAUAAAAGGUCUCUGUUUUUUUCUCCAUAAAAACCUAGCAGAAGACAAAGUGAUGUUUCAAAGAGUAGUUGUUUGGCAUAAGUGAACUGGGAGAAAAGAAAAGAUAUUUCUAGCAAAGAGAGACAGCUUAAACCCGCAGAAAAUGGUCCAACCUGAAGGAACAUUUCUGUUGUCCCCUCCACAGUUCCUUUGCUGACAAACUAUGUCAGUUGCACGUCUCUCCCUCUCCAGACAGCCUGUUUCUUCAGUGCGUGCCCAGUGUGUGUGCGUGUGCAUGUGCGUGUGCAUGGUCUGUAUCUUUAAAUCAAUGUGAAGAUGACUAAUUUGUGUACUGAUAAAAGAUGUUAUAGCAUGCUGUGACGAGUAAGUCUGAGCUUGGUAAGGCUAUUCAAGUCUACGCUACUGCUUACAUUUUGAUACCAGCAGCCUAAAGGAUCUAAGCAUAAUUUGUACUUGUAGGUGACUUUUAAAUGAAAUUCUAGUAGGUGUUUAAAGGUUGUUAGUGGAUAAGUUGAGCUUUAUUGUGGCUCCAACUGUAGCACACGUAUAUUGAUGACAGAAUGAAGGACACUAUAAAUUGUACAGUGUGAGAGGCGGCCGAUGUCUGCAGCACACGGGAUUCAGGAGCACGCUCUUGGUCACUGUAAGUGUGCCUGUGGUGGCUGUGGCAUUCGGUAGCAGUUAAUUAUUUGCUGAAGUUACAGACUGACACCUGGAUGCAGCUGUCACACUAAGCUUGCAGGCAGAGGCACUUCCAGCACUGACCUACUCAAACUGCGUCCAUGUGAGCACUUCAGACAAGCGUGGCAAUUCAGCUGAAGUUACGCAGCAGUGCAGGGUUAAAAAAAUAAGGUGUUGGUUUGGGACAUAUCAGGUGAUGAUAUGCAGGAUCUGUAUGUUGAAGCAAAUUGAUACUGUGCUGAAUUACUGAUAUUUUUCCAUGGAAUUCUGCUCUUUCACAUUGUAUAGCUAUAUAAUGGCUACACAUAGGAAAUAGGACAUAGCAAAACCUCCGUGCAACACAUUACUCGCUUGUUCAAGACUGAAAUCUGACUUGGGAGAGCUAAGGUCACCAUUGUGCUACUUGUAUGCUUUUUAGCUCCUGUCCUGCGUGGAGUAACACUGUUCCAGAGCAGCGUUUUUCAGAAGGUUAAGUUUUCAGGAACUGAUUAAGCUGUUGGUUUAUUUUUAUUUUGGAUUUAUAGUGCUUAGUUUGUGAGUACACUGCAGACGUGUCCAGUGUCACAAGUUGUGAGACUCAGGUUUGUUUGGCUCCUGUGGACUCACUGCCAGUAGUCCAAGAACAGAAGAGCAGAGAAUCAGGUACUGGAAAGCAGGCUGAUUGGAAGGUCUGGCUCUCAAGGAAACCUCUCAAGGAAACAAGAGAUCAGCUCUGCUCUGCUGCUCAUGGACUUUUUCCUCAAGGCUCUUCAAUUGAAGCAUGUCUUUUUGUACUGUUUCAGUGAGGCGUGCUUCACAUUUUGUUAAACAGCUAGAUUUGAUUUUUUUUUCCAGAUAGAUUCUAUCUCGUUCUCUACUGAUGAUAAAGAAAAUGCACAUGUACUCAUUCAAGUGCAAUUAACACAGUUAUAAAGUGUGUGUGACCAUAAGUGGCUACUGAGCACUCUUAAAGAUCAUAGCGAUAGUUCUGUAGGCUUUUCUCACCCAAAAUUGUUCAUCACCUUCUUUCCCAUCACUAAGCCUACAUAAUGAGCCCCUGUUUCUCUCGUGUGCAGUAAAAUGGACAGUUUCUACUGUGAUGGAUAUCACAUGUAGCUGUUAAGCUUUAAAUGUAUAUUUACCUUAUACGUGUUAACCAAAUUAAUCACAAUUAGAAAAAGCCUUGAUUGAUACCCUAAACAUUUAUCCUGCAAAAAUGUGAUCUUUGCUGUGGUGAUCUCCUCAGGGCUUCUGUGCAUGGUGGGGGUGGCCCCAGCACCACUGCUCCUGGAGCGUCCCGCAGUGCCCAGCAUCAGCAAUGGGACAGCCAGGAUCCAUUUGUUUGAAAAGCAAGACGGAAUUUAGGGAAGAUGAAAAGAAGGCAGUAUAUUCGGAAUCAAAAUUCAUUUUUCUCGAGAUAAAAAGUGUCACAAAGUAUCGAAAAGAUAGUAUUUAGAAAGAUCAACUCCAAUUAUUUAUCACAUUCAUCAUUUAUAAAAUUGAAAGCCCUACUAGUUGUUUUCUAUGUAAAAUAAAUUAAAACUUCAUUUUUAGAAUGACUUUUCAGCAUUUUGAAGCAAAGCUUUAAAAAACAGCUUAUGCACAGUGAAGCAGGAGAGGGUUAUCCGGUGUCUGUCUGCUCACUUUAGAAAUAUGUGGACACAUUACUGGAAGCAGCGAGAUCAGAACCGGGUGGUAUGGCUUGAGGAUUGCUCUGUGGCCUGAGUUCUGAAGCAGGGCCUCAGCAUCUGACAUGCCCUGACCACAAGUUACCACAAGAGUUUUGUGACUGCCCUCCAAUACGGCCAUUGGGAAGGAGAGGGUGGCAGUGACCAGAGUUUGGGAACUCGGGACCUGGCUCCAAGCUGUACCGUAGUACAGGUUGUGAGGUCAGUCAUCCCCCUCUGUGAGGCUGUCUGGAGUUCUUCCAGGGCAGGAAUGCGGGCAGCCGUGGUGUGUUGUGCUGGCUUGCUCUUCCCUCGCAAUUCUAACUGUACGCAUCAGCACUGCUCGCCUGCACAAGGCCUGCUCCACACACCGAAAGAAAAUCUGUUCACAUGCAUCUCACAGAGGUAUCAUCACCUUUUUUUGUCUUGAAAAUUGUAUUUGCUGGUUAUGAAAGAAAAAAAACAGUCACAUUUAAAACAUUUUUUAAAAUAUUAGAGGAAAAACUGCUCUGAUGUGGAAGCUGCACCUGUGGUGGAAGAAGUGGAAUAAAAGCGGUUCUAUUCGACGUAUAAAGCUGCUUCAGAACGUGCAGCUUAAGAGUACAGCAUUCUGGUGAAAUGGAGGACUUUAAGUGAGUUUAAGUCACCGCUUGCCCUGUUCUCAGUGCAAAUAACUAAAUAACUCUUUGCAAGGUAAUAUGCUUUUUUCCUCAAGUGAUGCAAACAUUUGGGGAAUUUGGUAAAUGCACAGGCAUUGAAAAAAGAACAGAGAAUUGACUUUUCUGCCUUUGUCAGAGUGUGCCAGCAGUUCUGCCGUGGGGCCGGGCCGGUCCUGUCGGUGGCUGCUGGGUGCACAUCUUUACUGGUAAUCAUUUUAAUAGAUUCAUGGCCUUUCCUUACAAGCUGACAUAAUGCAGGAGCAAGAGAUCCAUGUCUGAAAGUGACAGUUUUGUAGGCCGGGAGAAAUAAAGAAAGACAAAAUGUGUUCUGUCAUCUACGACAGGACACGUGUACACGCUUUUUGGAAAGGCUGAGAAAAGGCACUGCAGGAUGUUCCGGGAUCAGUAAUAGAAUGCAGUGAUUUUACUGCUGGGAUAUUUCUAUUUGUUAUCUAUAAAUUCUGUUGGAAACAUCAGUCUGUAGAGUCAUCAGAACCUAAGUUUUUACUUUGUUGUUGCUGCUGUCCAUAUAAAAGUUUUCUUUUGCAACAAAAGGCCUCCUUGAAAGCAGGCAAGGCCUGGCAGCUGGCACAUGGGUGCUGCUGGAAGCCACCGGAGCUGCAUCAACACCAAAUUCAGGCAAGAUCACAGUAAUGUUUCUGGAACAUGGGUACAGGAACAAAGACCGAAUGGAUUACAUAGCAUGGCAUAUUAAAUAACAUAUAAGCAAUUGGUUACUGUUUUUUUUUUGUUUGUUUGUUUGUUUGUUUUCCCCAACAAUAUUGUAUUCUAUAUAUUAUGCUCCACAGAUCCAUUGAAGAAUAUGCCCACUAAGUGGUAGUUAGUGUGUAGUAGUGGUAGUAGUUAAUUACUUUAAAAGAGACUUUUCAUUAGGCUUGUUGAUUUGAAUAGGCAUAACAGUUCCAGUGUGCUGCUUUGCUAUGGAGAUUUGUAAAUAUGCAAUAUGCAGUCUUAACCAAAGGGGGAUUCCUCUAUUUGUUUGUACUCUGAGCAGACUUUCUCUAUGUAUGGGAAAUUGCUCACAUGACUACACAUAAAAUAUAUUGAAAUGCUGUAAAACAAAACGUAACAGUUGUAUGACUUUAUUAUGUACUCCCUUUUCCUACAAACCUAACUUUGCACCGUCACUUGAAGCAAAUCCUUAGAAAACAGAGAUGCAGGUCAACUAUUCCUGUUGAUCAUUCUGCUUUGUUUUGAAAUCCUGGAUAGGUGAAAGAACAAAAAUUGCCCUACAAUUCUGUGUAGUUCCUCCUCCUAGCUUUCCAGUACUAACAGUGUUUUCAAGGGAACUUUGUCAGAAUUCACUUUGGUGGAUGGACAGAACCGAUUAAUGCAGCCCAGGUGUGUGAGCUAGCGAUUGUUUGGAAAACUACUGUUUUCCUAUGGACUGGGCUCAGGAAAUGCUGAAAUCCUGAAGUAUUGUUGGAAAAGUGUUUUAACAAAAAAAAAAAAUUGCUUUAUAGUUUCAUUCUCAAUGUUCCACAGAAUUCACCACUUCCUGCAUGGCUCUUUACCGCAGGGAAAAUGAGGGACUUUUGGGGGCAGAUGUGUUUCCAUUACACUAUCAUAAUGCCCCUAAAAAUCCUUAUUGCUCUUGCAGUAUUCUUCUGUGUUGCUGGGCCUGGUGUGAGCUACUUGAAGACCUAGCUUCUAAGUACAGCUUCUCUCUAAAAACACUUUCAAAGAGCAACUGAUUUUCUUUUAUUUACCUUAUUUUUGGUUGCGUUUAAUGUUGCUUAAAAUGUAAUUGCAAGAUAUGCCACCACCUGUUGAUAAACGAAUGUCAUUAAGUCAUAAAUGGGAGGGACAUGCUGAUAACUGCACGGUACCUAGCAAAAGGAACAUAUUUUGGCAUAAGGGUGAGUUGCACUCUGCUGGUGCAAUGAGCGUGUUUUUAACUUAAGAAUUCAGUAUGUGUGUCUAAAAAUGUGACACAGAUUUUUCACAGAUUUGAAUGACUUUGUUAUAGUGGACCUCACUCAGAAUGUUAACUGCUUUUAGGACCAUACUUCAGGCUUUUAAUCAAAUUAAAAGAUCUGCCCAGUAUUUUUAGUUAGAUUAAAGGCAUGCACACUCCAAUAUUCAAAUCACAUCCCCACACAGUCCCCAAAUAAAGAAAUUGAAGAUGAAACCUAGAAGAGACACUGUGAGUGCUCAGCGACAGUGUACUUUUUGCUCAGGAGGUGUUUGUGUGGGCAGGAGGAAGGGAUGCUGCUGGCCCUGCUGGGCGAUGCUGAGUCCACACUCCUCCUCAGGCACAGUUUAUUCCUGGUAGGCAGCAGAGUACUCAAAUUCUGCAAUUUUCCAGUUUUCUUGAUGGAAAGGCAGAACACAUAAAUGUAAAUACCGUGUUUUUGUCUGGGCAUUGCAGCACAGUAUAUCAUCACUUCACAUGUGCAGUGCUAGUAGCAUUUAUUUCAGUAGCCACAUGUAGGGCUGGGUUGUGUAAAACGUAUUCUUGACUUCACUAACUAGCUUAGAAGAAAUAAUGAAUAUACUGCAUCACUUUGUCCCUUUCUCAGUGCCAAAUAUCUUCAAAGAGCCUUUAGAAUACUUGGUAAUGUAGGAAAGAAACUAGAUUCACACACCUCUCCCCCAUUUUAUACUGUUCUAACCCCAAGGAAUUUUUCUUCUUCGUUUUCCUGAAGAAGUGUUUCUCAUUUUUUCAGCGGGAAAAUCUUACAGGUUAAGUCAUAUCCUGUAGGUCACAAGGGGAGCUAGCUGUUAUGACCAGAACCCCAAACCCUUGAUGCCCAGGUAGAUGCUGCAAUAAGAAAACCACUGUCUUGAAGGACUGAAUGAGCUGUGUUGCACAGUAUUGUGCUCACAGGUCAAAACAUGCUUACAUAUCCAUUCCAACGUGGAAAAGCAUUUCAGUAGCGUGUCCAGGCAGAAAGCAGUAGAAAAGCUAGACAUUGCAUUAAUUCUAAAUGUUCCUAUCACUACCUCUGUGUUUCUAUUUGGCUUGUUGAUUACAAAGUGAUUCCUGGCACCUUCUAACGUGAGUGAAAGGUGCUGGCUUGAGGCUUAUGCAGCUCUGAAAAUGACCAAAAGCACUUAUAAAGUAUUAGAUAACUAAAUUAUUAAUAUUAUGAAUAAAGGGGUUUGUUCAGUAAACUUUUAAUUUCCAAGUAAUGCUCCAAAAGACUCUGUGGCUGAUGUGUUAAAAACGUGUGAGACUGCACAGAUUCUGUCAUGUUCUGCAGUAUUAAAGAUCUGCAGAGGGAUUACUCCCAGAGCUACAAUUUUUAUCACCUUUAUAUAAAACAGACUUAAUGGGAAAAGACUGGGAUUCUAAUUAUUUUUUAAGAGUCUUCUGGGGAACUGUGCUUGUGACAAUACUAUAUAAAGAGCAGUGCAAUAGUUUUGAGCAUUAAAGCUGAUCUGAUUUUACAUUUGUUCUAUGUUAUUUUCUCAUGUGACACAUAAACUUUUAAGAAUAUCAGAAAAAAUGUGUUUUUUAACAGAAGCCAUUUUUCAUACAACUGUUUGGAGAUGCAGCCUGUAGAUUUCAACAGCUGAUUCUUACAUACACACAUACUUAGAGUCAGAGUCUUUAGACUGUAGCAAAAUUAGGAUUUUCCCUGAAAUGUGCAUAUGUAAAAUGUGUUUAUCACAUUACAUCGCUGUCAAGAAAAAUAUUUCUUCAGAGCUAGCAGUCCUGAGAAUAAAUUUAAGGAGGGGAAUCAAGAUACAGUGCAGUGCACUGCUGCACCUGCAUCGCAGAAGAGCUGCUCAGGAGAGCUAAGGUAUGUCAUGUAGGCACUUCCACAUCCCAGGGAGGUGCCAAGGGCCUUCGGUGGGAUGAGGCAAGGUGAGCUACUGCAUGCACUUUGCUAGGCACAGUGAGGAGUUGCAGCCAGCAGCUCCCUGCAGAACGCUGAUUCCUGUCAUUUGGGGCAGCGGCUCAGGGCAAGUCCGCUCUGGCUUUAACCACAAUAUCUUCCCAUACCAGCUUUAUCCCUAUCUCCUCCUUUGCUGAUUAUCCUGUUAAUAAACAGAAACUUCCAAGAAUUAAAAAAAAAAAAAAAAAAAAAAAACAUAAGGUUGCUGUUUCAAGGCACUCCUGCCAGAAAGAAGACAGCCACAGCUGCAAUUUACUGAUAACGUACCUUGUGCUAACAUCCCACUAUGGCAUGCAUGCGUGAAAAAGCUACACCAAUUAGUGAAUUCAAGUCUCUUGAUUUUCUCCAAAAGCAGGACACUCAGUACAGUGUCCUGAAACACAGAUGCUCAUACAGUGCAGGGGGGAAUGAAUGCCUGCCCUUGCUGGGGCUGUGCAAUGCUUUGGCACUGCAGCAAGUGCUCUGUGAACGUGGUGGGGGCUGGAGGGCACCAGUCCAGUGUUACCGUUGUUUGGUGGGUCUGGUUAUGUUGAUUUUUUAUCAGAAGUGACCUGCAAGCAGGCAAGAAAUGGAGAGCUGCUGCACUGUGUUUCUGCUUGCCUAUAUCCCUAAGAAAACGUCCCUGGUCAGUGUUAAUUCUGCACCAUAUGUAACAAUACCUGUAACAGCAAGUUUAUCUUAUCUUAAAAGUUAACUUUUCAAGUGCAGCGUAAUAGUGGAUAGCAUUAUCAUUUACGUGUAUCCCAAGGACAUAUUCUCACUUCUUUUUAUCAAUAUCACAGCAAAGAGGAAAGAGUACUUUCCUGUUUCACCUAUGAAACACUGAACAACACUUCUGUUUUUCACACCAGCACAUCUAAAUGCAGUAGGGGAUUGGGACUUUGUUUUGUCAUUCUGCAGAAUGCUGACGUAUGUGUUUGGCAUUCAGGUGUUAGAAAAACUGGAAAGAACAAAGGAUAAUUUGCAUGUCUUUUGGAUUUUUUUUUUCUUCAAGCUGUAGCUAUUCAUUAGCAAUCUUUAGCAUUGGAGUUUAGAAAAUGUUGUGCUUACUCAUAUAAAAAAAGACAUAGGAAUGAAAAACAGAACAGCACAAACUGGAGUCCUGUUAGGCUGCAGGCCACUGCCAGGGUCUUUCUGCAGGAGCUUUCUGUUCUGCUGAUUGCUUUGAGUGGGGCAAAAAGAUAAACAUUUUCUUGUGGCAAAUGCUGCCACACGUGACAAGUUGAUAUGCAGUAUCAAGAGUUGUACCAGGGGCUUAUUAGUUCACUCGAAUAAGACGGAAAUGCGAGGAAAAGUUUUGUGCAGCUGAAAAAUGAAAAAUAAUUCGUCAGUGCCCAAAUUGAUCUGCUGAAAAAAGACAUUUUUUGGCCUCAGUAACCAGAGCUUUCACUGCUAUGGACACUUUAUCUGUUGUCCUCAAUGAAUCGGCCUCCUUUGUACACACUACACCACUAUGGCUGUGGUAUGUGUUUUCGGCUGGUGCAGAUAGAGGAAUAUAAAUUCUAUACUGAUACGCAUAAGCAACUAUGCUACGCACAGGAUACAGUAAGCAGAAUUUGACUAGUCACUUCAUUAGAUGAAAAAUAAGCAUUUUCUGCUGUUUGUGCAGUGUCCACUUUGCGGACACUGGGGCCAUGUUUCCAUGUUUUUGCCUUUUCUAUUGAAAAUUAGGUACCGUAUUUGGAUAUGGCACAGAAGAGGUGCGUUCUGCUGCACACCUCUGUCCCGUGCUCCCUAAGUCCUUUCCUGACUGUUUUUGUUACACGGGUAUACACACCUUGAAACAGACUGUGUUUGUAUUGACAUUGUCACUAACUCUGUAUUUGAACUAAAAUUAGCAAAAAAUAUGUGAUUAGAGAUCCUGCCAUAUAUAUACAUACAUAUAUUCCCUUACAUUCUCAUAAUGGUACACAGCAUGAUAGAACAAGGAGAAACAAAGAGAGAAUGCACAGAGAUUCAUUUUGCGCUGGGCUGUUGGCAGAAAUCUGAGGUGAGCACAUUAAUUACAAAUAAUAAAAGCACAACGAAAAAGGGUCUCUUCCUGCAUUGCAGGAGAACUUUUAUCCUUCAUACUAAUGGCAUUUUUGUGUAUUUCACUGAACAGCUAUUUUACAAAACUGUUCCUUUUUUUUUCAUUACAAAAGUAAGGAAAUACUAUUUUUGCAAUCCAUUUCCCCAUCAAGACAGGCUUUUAAGCACCACUGGCACUUAUGGUAUGCCAACUUUUAUGGCUCUAGAGAAAUAACAAUCCGAUGGAGAAAAGUGUGACACAUUUUGCCUGGAGAAUGUUGUUACACUGACAAAGAAAUAUGAAGAACUUAUUGUAAUAUCCUGUCUCACAAUAUGGGGUAGAAGCAAAAAGAAAUCCAGGACAGAUAGAUGAAAUACAUACUUCUGCAAGAUGAUCAGUAACCAGAGGUCUAAUAUUCUUAAUUAUUUGCAAGACUUCAAUGAGGCCCAGAUGCCUGAAGAAGGACAAGAAUAAGGAUUAGGAAUCUCUUCAGGAUUUGAUGGUUGCUUGGCACUGUGGAAUGUAGAUACCUUUGCCCAUUUGUAUGAGAACUGUGCCCUUUGCCUUGGUUUCCCACUGAGAGCUCCCAAGUCUUCCAGGACUUCCUUCCUCCUGUAUUUGCACACAUACAGGAGAUGCACGUGCGGGACAUAUAUCAUAAGGAAUAAAAAGGUGUUACUCUUCCAGCAACUGUCCAUUUCUGAGAGAGUGUCAUAUGUGUAUGGAUAUUUGGUGAAAAUAAACACACUCCUGUCUGUCUUGAAGGAGAUACAGCAAAGGCUUUUUUCCCCAUUCUCACUAUUCUCAAACACAGCUAUAAGACAGAAAUCGUCCGUGUGCAGGUGCUUGGCUUCUUUGAAAACAUAUACAGUUUUCUUGAUGGCUUAAUUAUUCACCAUAUUAAUAUUGGUGUACUAGAGGUAUCUCUCACUUCUUUUUCAUAUAGUUGUAAUGAGAAGAAAUUAGCAGCCCUGGCUGCCUAGAAAGGUAGCAAUGUUUGUAAAAACAACGGAAGAACGGCAGCACUGCAGGGCACGGAGUGCCAUACACUGUUUCUGCUUUCUUACGACAACAAUCUUGUAAUUUCAGCUUUGUGUUGCAGAAACUGUGGCUGUCCUGGCAGCAUCCCAUCCUUCUUUCACCAAGGGGGGCAAAAGGAGUGUCCAGGAUGCAUCUCUAAAGGUCUGCUUCCACUUCUCACCAAGGCAUGGUGCACUGCUGAAACUGAAGGAAAAUUUUUAAAGAUUUAGCCUGUAAUUUCUGAAACUGUUUAAAGUAACGUUGUAUGGAAACUGACUUUCUUAAUGCAAUUUGUCUACUUUUUCUCCAAACAUCACAGAAGAGAAUUAAAAUUUAAAUGCACUGAUAUGUUUUACAGAAGAUCAAACAUUACUGUUAUUUGAGUAGUUUCUAGGAGCAGUGAUGGAAACUGCUUUAUGUACUGCAAUGAUUUAUACUUUUUUGUUGUACAAUUUGUUUAAUUCCCACUGCAACUCAACAGGAUUACAAAGGCAUGUAUGAAUAAACAUGAAUUUGAGAUGUUGCAACUGAGUGCAGGAACAUAACGAUGGUAAUUUUUCCCUGAAGAAAUCAGAUCAGAAGCUUUAAAUGUACAUUUUCCUCAACAGAACAGUUGGAUGUUAUCAAAAUUACUACUGUGCCUACAUGUGUCCCUUGCAGCAUCAUUCCCUCAUCACUGAUUUGCCAGCACAGCACUACCCAGAAAGGAGUUUGCUGUUACCUGCCUAUGCAGUCCCCACAAAAGCUGCUGCUGAAAAUUCUCUCCGUACCUAUCAGAUGUUUCUGCACUGUGAAUGCUAAGGAAAUGCUAAGUAAUUUGACUGCAUGAUUUUUAAAGAAACCAACAGAAAAAUCAGAUUUACACAAUGAUUACAGUUCUGCUUGCUAAUAUUGAUCCUCCCUUUAAGGGAAAUUAAUGCAAAACAAGACUGGAGUUAUAAUGCACCAAUAAUGUUUUGCUUGUCUCAAAAAGUAAUGAUAGCUAGUGCUUUUGUAUCUUCUAUUUCCUUAUGAUCUAUUAAAUAUAAGUAGUUAAAACCCUAAAAUAAGAAUAAAGAGAGAUGACAGAGGUGGCAAGGCACCUAGAUGUGGAUCUAAAUAUAACCAAGGUUGUUUAUAUCAGUGAGCUCUGCCAAAGGAUAUGCGUUUAUGCAACUUUCUUGGUCGGGGAGUCAGUUUGCAAUGCUCCCAUGUGUUGUAUCCUUUAUUGCUCAUAUUUCAAAGGUAAUUUUUGCAAGAUUCUAAACAAAUAAAUAAAAAGCUAAAUUAUUAUCUCAGUUGUAGAAAUGGAGAAACUAUAAUAUUGAAGUUGACUGACUCUGUCAAGUAAAUGUUUAUUAUUAGAAAUAGGAUUCGAUUUCAUGUCAUCACUCCAAAUCUCACACUUCUUGCACUGGUGACCUACCAUAAAGAAAUACACGUUAAUGCAAUCAUUUUGAAGAGAUCGAUACCCAGGGAGGAGCUGUUUCCUGAAUUACCAGGUGAACGACUAAACAUUUCCUAAGGAUCACCCAAGACACUGAAGACAAAAUAUCUAUCGUUUUUUGUUACAGUUCAUAUUUCUGCUGCUUCUCAGACACGCUGUGAUUCAUCUCUGAGGAACACUUCACAUACUGUAGUUUAUUUUUCUAUCACGACACUCACAAUUUGCCAAAACUGCCAUUUCCCUUAUGCUGUUUGAGCAUUGCUAGCUCUGCAAUCAAAUGUAUACUGUCUGUUUCCAUCCCUGCUCUCUGUCUCAAUUAUUAUUUUUGUGAAGAUAAGAAAAUCCCAUUUUUACCAGUGGAGAGCCAGGCUGCUUAGGUCACAAGAUUCUCUUGGCUUAAUCCUUGAGUAUGAAUCACGAACUUUCCCUAAGAAGUACUGGCAUUCUUCAGAUGAUCAAGCCAGCUUACUAAGGCUUCCAGAGCUUUCCGCAUUAGCGAUCACCAUGUUUAAAGUAUCAAAAGCAGUAGCUGAUUAAGAAUUAAACUGUUUAUUCUUACUUUUCCCAUUUCCUCUGUUUCUAACUCUUAUGUGGCUUGGUACUGUAAACAGCUGUAAUGCAACUCAGUUAAAAGAAGUAAUAUGAAAAUAUGAAAGCUAUGAUGAAAGAGAUAUAUCAGACAAAAAUAUUUGUGUGAAAUACAAGAAACAGAGUUACAUUUUCUGCAGUACAUGGCUCAAAAAUAAUCUGCAUAUGUACACAUGGCUCCAGUUAACAAAAAGCAUUUUUCUCACAUUUAAUAUCAGAAAUGUUGGAGGUAGCCAAACAUCUAUUCUGCAGAUGAUUUACAACCCUUGCAGAAAAAAAAAACGUGCACUAUUGAGACAUCAUAGUAAAUGUCAUAUAAUUCAAUAAGCGUUAUGUGAAGAAAUAGAUAAAAUGAAGAUACACCCAAAAAAUAUUUCUUGAGAUAUGAAGGUGGAAACAGAAUAUUCAUUCCAGAUGCAGAACACAGAAAAUUGCUGAGAUAGGACUGGACUCUAGUAAGCAUGUAGCCCUGGAAACAUGAGGGUCCUGGGCAAUUCAGGACAGGUGUUAUAUUCCUGCACCACAUUCAAGUAUGAGAUCUGACAAAAGUAGACUGUUCACUUUGGCUACCAAUGAGAUUUUUCUAACUUUUACCAGGAAUAGUACUUCUUCAUAAAUGUGGAGUAAACUAUUUGAACAACAAUUCUUUCUUGUAUUAUUUCCAGAUUUGGUGAAAAACAUUAUAACAACUAAUGAAUACAUUAUACAGUCAUGCAAACUUCAAACUGAGUUUUUGUGCUAUUGCUGUGACAAGCAUUAAGAAAAGUUUAGUUUUCCAGAAGCCAUACUAGCCAGCUGUUAACUCUUGUCCUUUUCCUCAAUGACUCUGACUAUUUUUUGCCUUGUUCUUAGGGAAGUGCAUGGAUGUGGAAAAUGCCUGUUUAACAAUUCAGAUUAAAAAAGCAACCAAAUGCUAACACUUUGCGUUCACAAGACACAGCAGAAUGUCUCAGCCUAAUAAGCAUUGCCCUUAAGUUCGAUUUGCCAACUUCAAAAUAUGAAUUUAAGUAUUUCAUUUCAGCAGGAGGGCAAAAUUAAAUUCUAAGGCAAAAUGCUUAUGCACAGAAUAUAAGUUCAGCAGUGGUGAUAAUGGAAGUUAAACAUUUAAAACUUACCUCUUUAAAUUGUUUCCUUUCCACCUAUGCUGUUGAUGAUUUUCAUUUAGCUACCUUUUUCAUUAUUGGAUAAUGUAUACCUAUAACUAGAAUUCUUACCAAAUCUGCCUCCUUACAAAUUCAAAGAGCAACACAGUUAAUUCUCUGCUCAGGACAAAGAACGCAGCAUGUUAUUUUUAUGUAUCAUUAGGAAAAAAACGAUAGAGGAAAUGAACCAGGGGAACAGAAAAACAAAAUAAGAAGUGAAAUCCAAGUUUCUAAUGCAGAGAUGGAAUGCCAAUAAACUGUUCCAAAGAAACUGUUUAGCUGCAAGCUUUUCAACCUGUUGCCAAGAAAACACUGCUGUGUUCACUGAUCCUAUCAUUAAACCAGGUAUGUUCUGAAACAACUCUUUCUGAAUGGUGCCAUCUUCUGUGAAGUGGGAGGGAGCUUUGCUCCUAUAGAGCACUACUAGAAAGAUAGUUCUGCUCAAAAAAGCAGGUAUGGGGCAAGCUUGGUUAACUCAUGUACACACAUUCUUUAGAGAAAAAUAAAUUAACAGUUGAAAAGAAAAACCUUGUUGCCUACAGACUGUUGGCAGGAAGCACAGGACUAUAAUUUCCAUCUCCGAAAAUACCAAUUUCCAGGGCAAAAUGUCUUAAUGGCUGUUUUUUAAUACCCUAUAAUAUCAGGUUUGUACUCUCGCCGACUUGUUGUUUUCUUUACAAAAAUAAAAGACUAGUGUUUUGUAAUAUUUUUGUGCUAGGUUUUUAAAUAAUUAUCAUUACAGUUAUCCAUGCUACUCAAGAUAUUUGCCUGAGUAUAUAUAUCAGUAAAAGGGCAGAUCACAUCAACAAACUUCUUCCACAUCACACCUUGUUCAGCUCUCCACAACAGUGCUCUUCUAUCUUCUAGUAAGGCUUUAUUUUACUUUCUUUUCUGCCAAACUUUUACAUUUCAUGUCUGUAGCAGAAAUGCUAAGUCACGGCCCAAGCCAGUGAUGGAACACCUGGUGGGAAGGCAGGGCCAGCCCAACGAGCUCAGGUGCAUGCAAUGCAAUGCACUGAGUGACCAGAAGGGUUGAGCCAGGAUCCACACUUCCCAGCCCUCUCAUUGGAGAUCCCUGCAUGCCUGAGGCCUUCCAAAGGUAAGAGGUUUUUCUUCCUUUGUUUCUGUGUCCAUUGCUGCAGCCCAGGAUUGUGCUACCCUGCUACUAUUGCUGUACUUUCUAUCAUGUUAUAGCAUUACAGUGGGUAAAAGAAGUACUGGCUUUACUUCAUCAAAUCCCAGUUUUGUGCUGUGGCUGGCUGUGCUAAAUAUGCAGUGGUCUGCUCAGCUGUGAGGUCUUACAGUCCUUAUUAUACCACAAAAGGUCUGGAUCAGUUCAUAAAACUACAGGAGAGCCCUUGUUUCCAGGAUAGUUACUAAUUUUCAGCAAAGGAAAUUUGGAAUCCCAAUAGGUGACACUGAAGUUUACAUUUUACUCUCAAUAGCUCCCUUACUUGUUUUCUAUGCAUCCUAAAUAGCUUCCUAUCAAACCAUUCAAAGUGAAGACAUCACUGUAAAGACUGAACAACUGCUGUAAACUCCGUUCAGCUCAUCCUUAGAUUCAGAGCUCACCAAAUCAAUGCUGACCAACUUCCCAAUGAUGCCUUCCCUUUUCUGUAGCGAUCUCUGUAGUAGUGCAGUCUUGUUAACACUGGGAAUUUCAGAUUCAUUGCAGUACCUCUGGGACAGAGAGGGGCUUGAGGGGAAUUAAAGCUGUUGCAUUUCUUUUGAAGUUAAGAGGAGAAACUUUUUGUACCAAAAGUAUUCUGUAACUGUCAAUAGCAUCUACAGCAAAGAGCGUGACUUUCAGCCAUCGAGUGACUCCAAGCUAGAAAGAGAGCUCAGGCUCACUCUGUUUGUAGACUAAAUUCUGAAAAGUUAUUCACUCUGAACAAAACUUUCUGAUGAGAGUAUGAGACUUUAAGAUGAUUACACCCCAAAUUUAUGUGCCAGUAUCUAAAGUUAUGGGAGACACUGUGUAGUCUGUGAAUCAGUUAAAUAGACUGCAUGAGUUAGAAGAGUGAGGAAAUGUUAUUCAACUCCUCAUAAAGAUUUUUUUUAGUCUUCUCACAUUAAAAAGUCUUGGAAUUGAAUAAUCCAGAAGAGUAUCUCUGUUCCUCUUGGAUCCUUUCCCACAUACAGCAACAGCAAAAUGUGUAGGCUUGACUGCUGAUGAGACACUCUGGAGUGAGUAUCUGAACAUACCUGGCACAGAUGCUCCACUUUGGUUUUCUUCUGUUUAGGCUUGUUUAGCUAACAAAUAUCAGAUUGGAGUCAUUCAACAGACAGAAAACUCUGCUGCUAACUUAACUACAAAACAAAUUUGGAAGCUGGGCCAAUCCACUCUUGCUUUCCUGGCUUGAUACCCAUCUGCUAUCUAUUGCUGGUGCACAAGCGACUACCAUCAGUGAAUAUGUCCAGGUGGCAAAUUAAUGAUCAUCACUGCUCUUCCUGACACCAACUGAUUAAUUCUCAUACUUCUGAGCCAAGCUUUGGUUUCUUGACAGUUUGUUUAGCAGAGAAUGAGCAGUUCUCUGUUGGUACCGAUUCAUUCCUGAUCACCUGUUAUUUCUCAAGCUGUCAGUUUGGACUCCAAAUGCAACUCUUUGGAUUUUCACUACUGAGUAGUUUCACUUGGUACAGACUAAAGAGCAAAUAAAUUAUCCAUGGUUUUGUUUCAUUCCCUAAUCAACCACCUUCUUGUAACCCAUUCUGACCUUUGUUAGUAUAAAACAUUAAUGGGAAAACUCCCAAUGAGUAAUGUUGUGAAACUGUACUUUGUGACCAGAUGGUUCCUUGAGAUGAUGCUUCUGUAAAUCUCUCUGAGGGUGAUGUCCCUUAGGUGCUCCCCAAGAUCUCCACCCAGUCCUUCCCGCCUUCUGCUUAUGUGCUUUAAGUUUUGUUUGUCUGCAAGUUUUUGCUGUAUUCUUUUUCAGGUGGAUGAGUUCUGCACUUCAGCUCCCUGCUAGCCCAUGGGCAGCUAUGCCAGCUCUCCACAGCAAAAGGAGAGGCAUGAGAGUUGAGCUGAAUAGCAAGAGUGGAAAGCAGAGACUCUUGAAGCUCAUUUGACCACCACAGUUGCUGUAUGCAUCCUCAAGACCUGAAUUCAGUAAAGUACACAAAUAUCCCACAGCAAGAGAUAGAAACCAUAUUGUGUAAAAGCAUUGUAGUGGAAAUGCUAAGUCACAGCUGGAAGCAGUGAUGGAGCACCUGGUGGGAAGGCAGGGCCAGGCCAGGGCAGCUCAGGUGCAUGCACUGCAAUGCACUGAGCGACCAGAUGGGUUGGGCCACGAUCCCCCCUUUCCCAGCUCUCAUUUAAGGGCUGGCAGUGGAGGCAAGGGGAUCUCCCUGGAGAUCUCUGUGUACCUGAGGCCUUCCAAAGUAGAUGCACUUGUGAAGAAUGUGCUUCUUAACAAGGAAUUCUGAGUUUCUAGUAACAGCUGUCCUCUGAAGGUUGGGGCUGAAAAGUGAGUUUUGGAGAGCCUAUGCAAUCAACAUGGUAGAUUUCGUACAUCAAGUUUACAAUUUGGGUUCUGAUGGCUGAAAAGAAAAUAAAAUACCCAGAGAGAACCGGAGCAGGGAAAGGUUCUGCUUUCUCAGACAACACAAAAAGGAACGCAGACAAGGACCAGGCAGGCUGAAUGUGAAUUGCCUAUAUACUGAGAAUGGGAGGGUGGGAGAUGAAUACGCCUGCUACACGUGCUGCAGUGGUAAACAGUCUUCAGCCUGUGCCAUGUGGUAUGCACACAGUCUUGUUAGCAGUCCUUCAAGACAGAAAUCCGUGUUGUUGACUUAUGCUACUGUGUUGGACAGAGAACUGAAACGGCCAAGACAGGUGCUUGUUCUGUUUUGCAGAUAAAUAGGAAGAAAAGUAAGGGUUGUAAUGUCCAACCAACAUGGCAAUAUUUUCCAUGUUGCCCUCAGCAGAGUAUUAAUUUAUUAUAUGACAGUGAGCAUAAAUACUAAUAUUAUGUAGUACUUAACUCCUGGAAGUCUUCUGAACCUGAAUGUUUAAUUGCCUCUUAAGCUGUUUAGACAACAGACUGAUUUGCUUCAGAGCAUGGUGAACUACAGGGCCCAAACCAGCUUGUGAAGUAGAUUAUUUUCCUGAAAAUCACAAGCGCCUGGGAAUCCACAUGCUGAAUUCAUAAAGGUGUAAAACUCUCCCUGCUGCUCUGAGAUCCAGAUAGAAAAAAAGUGUCUAAAUUAUUUUUCUAAUAUGCAAGCAGUAGAUUGCUGAAAAAGACAACAAGAGCAUUCAGUGCUUCACAAUGGCUCCAGGCUUUGGAUUACUGGGAGUAAGCAUCAGCUCCGGUUUCGCGAGCAGUAAGUCAGUAUUUCUCAGUAAGCAUUCCUGAUUAAAAACCAUGUCUUUUUUUUUUACUGUAUUUUUACUUUUUUGACCUUUCCUGUCUGUGACAACAUAUUUGUACUUGGUGAGUGUUCCAAGGAUGAUGGCUUUAUUUCUUUCUCUCAAUUCUUGUGUGACUAGGAGAAAUUCUUUAGGAAUGAAUAGAAGCUUUUGGGCCUAUAAAACUUGUCCUUUUUUGGUUCUGACCUUCUCACAUGAUGUCAUGCAGUUUUCUUUUCUGAAUGAUUUCAACGUGUUUGCCUCAACAAGUCUAUUUUAUUAUUAUGCUUCUCAUCUUUCUAAAAAGAAAAUUUCUCUCAUUUUAAAGAAUACUGUUGUUUCUCCACACCCCCUCUCAUUUUGGUUCUUCGUUGUAUCUGGGAGAUGCAUUGUCAAGAAUAUAUGAGGUGAUACACAUAACCUAUUCUGUUUUUUAAAAAAAAAAAAGUUCUGUGUCUCCUGCUACAAUUUCUGUAUUCAUUGCUCUGGCAAUAUGGAAGCUAUGGCAGAUAAUCAGCAGACCUUGGGCACAAUUUUAGUUUUAUAGUGAAAACAACAGAUUGAAAAACUCUCUCCCUAUCCAUUACAAUAUGAUUAUUGAUUAUAGUCAUGCUUUCAUACAACUGUAUUAGUGGGAAUUUAAAAAAUUGAUUUCUCAAGAGAAAUUUCUAAAAAGCAAAGUCUCGAAACUAGGGGAAUUCUGAAAGAAAUAAAACUUCAUCUGAAAGAACUUUUUUGCUAAGAAAAGUAACAGACAAUUCCUUCUUAUCUGGCUUCAGAAAUGAAAGGGAUAAACUCCACAUUGCUGAAAUUAAAUUUUGGAUUGCUAAAAUGGAAUUUAGCAAUCUGGAGUUUGGAAUGGCAAUUUGAGUUAGCAAACCUGAAUUCAAUAAGGAGAUCAUUCAUGGCACUGACUACCUUUCCUGCCCAGUUUUCUUGGUGAAACAAAUUUGUUGAUCUAAUUGUUAGCUUUCUGGAGCUAAAAUAACUACAAAGU